GAAAGUCGUCCUACAAAAUAACCCUCCUCUUCUCCACUCUCUCGUCUCCCUCAAACCAUCCACAAAUCUUUCCAAAGGGCAUUUUACGUUGCUACAUUGAGCUGUUGGCCAUCUACCUGUUUUAGGGCUGUUAAGCCUAACAUGAAGGGAUGCUGCAAGAAUAUUAGCACACAGGCCCAUUUCAGGCGGAUGCCCUUUUGAAAACUCGACAUCAGAAGACAGCUGUGCACAUAUUAAAGAUACAUUGGGAGUCGGAUCAGGAGCAAACUGCGGAAGAGAAGCACGGACAUGAGAAGCCUGCAGUCUCCCAGGUGUCAGGAUGAAAUAAUACUUGGAUCACAAAGAAGUGUGAACGCUGACCAGAGUGUGGCCUUUCCAGAGACCCACGAGGAACAGGAUUCACUUCCCGUCGUCUCCAUUUAUCUUCCAAGUCUUACCACUUUCCCACAUAAAAAUGGCGGCUGAUCAGUCAAAGGCGGAGAUGGAGAGAUAGACGUAGCAUGGAUUUUGUGAGACUUCGUUAGGCAUUGAUGGCAUCGUCUUACAUUGCCCUGGACCAUGGAUGGACAAAUGAUGCGUGAGACAGAAAAGGUUUCCCUCUUUGACUAAUUGAAUUAAG